rnacentral:rRNA from 1 species
ACCAGCACCAAUGCACCAGAUCCCAUUAGAACUCCGAAGUUAAGCGUGCUUGGGAGAGCGUAGUACUAGGAUGGGUGACCUCCUGGGAAGUCCUUGUGUUACUUUUC